ACUCCUACGGGAGGCAGCAGUGGGAGAUGAUGCAUGGCAAAGGGACCCUGAUGCAGCCAUGCCGCGUGUGUGAAGAAGGCCUUCGGGUUGUAAAGCACUUUCAGUAGGGAGGAAGGUAGUGUAGUUAACACCUGCAUUAUUUGACGUUACCUACAGAAGAAGCACCGGCUAACUCCGUGCCAGCAGCCGCGGUAAUACGGAGGGUGCGAGCGUUAAUCGGAAUUACUGGGCGUAAAGCGCAUGCAGGCGGCCUGUUAAGUCAGAUGUGAAAGCCCGGGGCUUAACCUCGGAAUUGCAUUUGAAACUGGCAGGCUAGAGUCUUGUAGAGGGGGUAGAAUUUCAGGUGUAGCGGUGAAAUGCGUAGAGAUCUGAAGGAAUACCAGUGGCGAAGGCGGCCCCUGGACAAAGACUGACGCUCAGAUGCGAAAGCGUGGGGAGCAAACAGGAUUAGAUACCCUGGUAGUGUACUG
rnacentral:rRNA from 1 species